ensembl:lncRNA
CUGAGGAUAUUUUCUGGCUCUGCUGUACCAGAUCAGGGUUUCUCAUCCUGCCUCCUGCUGGGUCUUAUGCUUGCUGCUAUACAACCCAGGCAGUGCACCCUAUCAGAGUUUCAUGCUGAGGGACGAGCACUGCAGCUGACUUCACUGUUUGCAUGGAAAUGAAUCAGAUGUUGAUCCUGCAGCCUUGUGGAUAUCCUGUGGUUGUGCUGCAUUCAUCCAUUUCCAACUCUCCAAUACUUUUCUUCAUAUAUAUAUAUAUAUGUAUAUAAGUAUAAAUAUAAUUGUAGGAACUUAUACAAGAAUGUAAAAUAUGGAACUUGAUUGUUAUCUAAUUUGCUUUGGGAUAAAUACCAAUAAGAUAAUUGAUCAAAACCUGAGUUGAUGAAAUCAUUCUGGAGUUGAAUUCUACUUUAUAUUAAUUGAAAACCUGGUUAACUAAAAUUAAAG